UCACACAGGGGCGGUGAACAACUCUCUCGCCAGCGCCAAUCCUCACGGGUGCAAUUAAAACGACAUUUUAUAAUGCUUGUACGGUUGGAAGAGGCUGACGACCUCUUAUCCAAGACUGGGAACUAAGUUGACAAGUGUCAUACUGUUUACGCGAAACUGAACUUGGAUCGAACCCAAGACCAUUUGAUGCUAAUGCAAUGCUCCACCAGUUGAGCUACAGGACUACUGCCGUUGUGUAAAAAAGAUGCUUUCUCACCAACCCAGCUUACAAUGAAGUGCACAAAUCUGAUCAGAUUUGCCUGCGAUCUGGCUGAUUGAAUAAAACAUUCCCUGCUUUUCCGUGGGCUUCCCACUAGCAGGAAAAUGAAGAUUGAAGUAGAACAUGUGGGGAUUAUGCAGAAGAGGACCAGAGAGCGGAUCAGAGACAAGGGGAGGUCUCUGUCAUAAUAACCAUAUAAAAUCCUUUUCCAGCUGAUCCCAUAAAAGCACAUAUCAAAGUCAUCACUGCAGGGCAAAGCAGAGGCACAUGAAAGUGUUUGACUCAGAAAUCACUUCUGAAGAAGUGCGUGUGUUUGGAAGCUAUCUACAAUUCAGCUUUACACCAAUAUAAUUUUAAUUUGCCCAUGAGGAAAUGGUUUGAAAACAUUAAUAUGUGCAAAGAAGUGAAAAUGGUUACAUAAUCACCUGUUUUCUUAACAGCGAGAGGCUAGUCCAAAAUGAAAUCACAUAAAUUGCAUGCUCUCAUUGAUUUUAUUUCACUGUGGGAAGUGACAUGCACAAAGAUGUUAGAAAUAACUACCAUGCCUAUCAGAAAAAAACAAUUACAGAUACAUUUGUACUUAUACUGAAGUAUUGUAUCUGUAUUGAAUUCAACACCAAAUCAAGGACAACCUUUCAAAACAAUUUCUUUCUUAACUGAAAGCCGAACUCUUGAAUAUAGAUGACUGAAAAGGAAAAAUCUAAUUCCCCGAAUGUGUGCGCUGUAUAAUAGCGUGUCCUUAAAAUGCUUGUUCUUUCUGCUACGUUAAACAUGCAGUGCAUUUGAGGGCAGUUUUUUUCUAACAUAAACUAUUCAUUGUGCCUCAUAUUCUUAUUUGUUAAUGCUCAUGUCUAUAGAAGCAUGACUUUAUUUCUUAAUAAUCACAUCUUACAACAUUGCAAAUGCUGCAAAAAGGCCAAAUUUAUGGUUAAAACCCUGGUGUAGAUCAGGCUGGGGGAUAUGCCAACAAAUAUCUGUUUUUUGACAGUAGUAUAUGAUUUGGACAGAACAUACAAAAUAUUUGGUGCAACCUCCUACUUUUUAUUAUUUGAAAACAUGUAAAUGCAGCUUGAGGUGAUGAAAGAGAUUUGUUGUUAGUUGAAAGGUGUUAUUUUGUUUAGUAUUUAUUUUCUGACAACCAGACCAGAUACAGAUACAAGAUACAGAUUGGGGACUAAGUCAUCAUCCACUCCCAUGUCUCUUUCCACACUUAAUGUUUGGCUAUGUUCGUAAAAUGUAUAGUUGUAUCUUCAAGUACACUCAUUUUGAAUAUUUAUUAUUCAUUACAUCACCCAGCCCUACUGUAGGUGUGGUUUAAAAGAAUGAGACAUUCAUGCUUCAUGAGUAAUGAUUCACCAUGCAAGAAUACCUAAUCUGUGCAAGUCCUGUCUCGCAUGCUUAACAAUCUUAACUCUUAGUCUUUAAUUACACAAGGUUUGCGUGUGAUUUUUACUAAAGUACAGUUAAUAUUUACACUAGGACAUUUCUACACAUCUGGACAAAUUAUAUUAUAAAUAAUAAACCAGAUUCAAACUCUUCAUUCCUAAACUAUUAUAUAGUUCAUGCCAGCUAUUUGAUAACUAGUUACUUGCAAACACACAGUAAGGCAUCACAACAGCAUAUAGUUAGAGGAAUAUACACACUUAUUCAUACAAGUAUGUGCACUCUCAAAAAUCAAUAGUACAAGAAGGUAAAAAAGUGGUCACUACUAGAGCGAUACCUUUUCCAAAAGUACACUUUGUACCUUAAAAGUGCAUAUUGGUACCUCAAAGCUACACAUUUGUACCUUAGAGGUACUGGUAUUGUAACUCAGAGGUACAUAUAUGUACCUAAAUAGUACAUAAGACCUUUUAAAAAGUAUACCAUCACAGUGACAGCUUCGUACCUUUAUUUCUAAGAGUGUAUAUUGUACAAAUAAGACGCCUAACCCAGUGGUUUUCAAACUGGGGGGCCGGGACCUCCAGGGGCGCCGUGAGAUGGUGUCAGGGGGGCCCCAGUUUUAUGACAUUUUAUGAAAUACAUUAAUUUAUCAUGAAUUCUGUGUAAUUUAACCUAAAAAAAAUAAGGCUACUAACCAAAAGCUCUACUUUUUUUGUAUAAUUUAAUGUUUUUUUUUUAUUAUUAAAAUGUUGAGUUUUAGAACAGUUUUUAGUCACAAAUUUUCUUUGGGGGGCCGCAAAGGAAUCCACUGUACACAAGGGGGGCUGCACGCUGAAAAAGUUUGGGAACCACUGCCCUAACCUAUACCUAAACUUAUGUACCACAUACUGUAUAUGUAUGAGGCAGAUUAUAAACACAUCUGUUGUGUGAUAUCAAGAUGAAGAGAAAAUGAUAGUGUCCCCACAAAUACUUUUAGGGGCGGGGUAUGCAUGUUUGAGCUGCCUUAAUUUAAAAAACCUCUUGCCCUGACAUAUAAGUGCCAAUGUUUGUCUCAAGAUGCACAGCAGUAUUGUUUUUUGUAAGGUAUGUUUGUAAAAACUACUUAAAUGUCCUAAUACAACUAAGGCCUAGUCCUGGAUUAAUCUAAAGCCUGUCUGAAAAACCGCCCUUAGUUUUAAUACUGUCAGAUAAAAGAGAUAAGCCAACUAUGAGACAGGGUGUUUAGGUUACUAUUCCAUUUCCUGCACAUUGAUCUGCUAUUUAUACAGAUGUUAGUUUACACACACACAAAAAAUGGCAUAAAAAGGCACAUAAAGCUAGUUAAAUAAUAAAACAAAUGCAAAUAAAUGAACACACUGAACAUUUAGAGCAUUUCACAUUGUAUCAUUAUACUAUGCUGCCACCAUCUGGAAAAAACAUUAAUUACAUUUACAGUAAUGUUUAUAUGAUAUUGACAUAACAAAUAUUAAUAAAUAAAACAAACGUUUAAGUAACUACAUAAGACUAGAGAUCACUGUUGUGGUGGCUAUAGAAGCACAGCACUUGAAAGUGUCCACCACCACAUCAAAUAACAACACGCAACACUGGUCAGAAUGUCUAUGUUCUUGUUGUUUUUUUAUUAUUGCAGUAACACAAUUUUGCAUCUGGUCGCACAUCUCCAAACGUCAUAACAGAUCAUAGAGACCUGGACAUCGAACACAGAAACCAUUCAAAAAACAAGUGAAUUAGUGGGCAGCCAGAAAUCAAUACCGAAAGCAACACUUUUAUAAAUAAUAAAUUCAGAAACAAUAUCUACACACACUAUACACAGACAAUACACUCACACAAUUGAGAUGACUCUUUUAGAUGCACGCACUCGCACUCGCACACAUGCACAAACACACACACACAUUCAGAUUAUCAAUCCACUUGAACUGAUCUCUCAUAUUAAAUUCAAUGAUCUUCUCAAUGAGCUUGAAUCUUGAACACUGGUGUUUAAAUAAAAAUACAUACAGUUGAGAUAGUUUACAUCCAUAUAUUAUAUAUAUAUACUGUAUGUAUUACAAGCUCUGACACCAUAACCAGAAUCUAAAUUCAAAUGAA